rnacentral:rRNA from 1 species
GAUGAACGCUGGCGGCGUGCCUAAUACAUGCAAGUCGAGCGAACGGACGAGAAGCUUGCUUCUCUGAUGUUAGCGGCGGACGGGUGAGUAACACGUGGAUAACCUACCUAUAAGACUGGGAUAACUUCGGGAAACCGGAGCUAAUACCGGAUAAUAUUUUGAUCUGCAUGGUUCAAAAGUAACAGACGGUCUUGCUGUCACUUAUAGAUGGAUCCGCGCUGCAUUAGCUAGUUGGUAAGGUAACGGCUUACCAAGGCAACGAUGCAUAGCCGACCUGAGAGGGUGAUCGGCCACACUGGAACUGAGACACGGUCCAGACUCCUACGGGAGGCAGCAGUAGGGAAUCUUCCGCAAUGGGCGAAAGCCUGACGGAGCAACGCCGCGUGAGUGAUGAAGGUCUUCGGAUCGUAAAACUCUGUUAUUAGGGAAGAACAUAUGUGUAAGUAACUGUGCACAUCUUGACGGUACCUAAUCAGAAAGCCACGGCUAACUACGUGCCAGCAGCCGCGGUAAUACGUAGGUGGCAAGCGUUAUCCGGAAUUAUUGGGCGUAAAGCGCGCGUAGGCGGUUUUUUAAGUCUGAUGUGAAAGCCCACGGCUCAACCGUGGAGGGUCAUUGGAAACUGGAAAACUUGAGUGCAGAAGAGGAAAGUGGAAUUCCAUGUGUAGCGGUGAAAUGCGCAGAGAUAUGGAGGAACACCAGUGGCGAAGGCGACUUUCUGGUCUGUAACUGACGCUGAUGUGCGAAAGCGUGGGGAUCAAACAGGAUUAGAUACCCUGGUAGUCCACGCCGUAAACGAUGAGUGCUAAGUGUUAGGGGGUUUCCGCCCCUUAGUGCUGCAGCUAACGCAUUAAGCACUCCGCCUGGGGAGUACGACCGCAAGGUUGAAACUCAAAGGAAUUGACGGGGACCCGCACAAGCGGUGGAGCAUGUGGUUUAAUUCGAAGCAACGCGAAGAACCUUACCAAAUCUUGACAUCCUUUGACAACUCUAGAGAUAGAGCCUUCCCCUUCGGGGGACAAAGUGACAGGUGGUGCAUGGUUGUCGUCAGCUCGUGUCGUGAGAUGUUGGGUUAAGUCCCGCAACGAGCGCAACCCUUAAGCUUAGUUGCCAUCAUUAAGUUGGGCACUCUAAGUUGACUGCCGGUGACAAACCGGAGGAAGGUGGGGAUGACGUCAAAUCAUCAUGCCCCUUAUGAUUUGGGCUACACACGUGCUACAAUGGACAAUACAAAGGGCAGCGAAACCGCGAGGUCAAGCAAAUCCCAUAAAGUUGUUCUCAGUUCGGAUUGUAGUCUGCAACUCGACUACAUGAAGCUGGAAUCGCUAGUAAUCGUAGAUCAGCAUGCUACGGUGAAUACGUUCCCGGGUCU